AUUUGACUUCAGAUUUACCAGCAAAGCGGUUUCUCCUGUGGGAGUUUAUGGAAGUAAAAAAAGAAAAUGUGGAAAUCAAAUGAAGGAUGCAUGGAGUUUUCAAGACUGUGAGCAGGAUUAAGAGACUGUGCUGUUUUCUUUUGGAGAAGGUGACAAGUCAUCCCAUGAGGAAUUAAACUCCAGCAGCAUCAGUGCCAGGAGGGAUUCAUUUUAGGCACACUUGGAAAUCCAAAUCUCAUGGAGACAUUUUGAGGAUUAUAAUGAGAACGUGCGGCUUGUCCCUCUCCUAGACAUGUCCCAGGCCAAAGUCACAGCAGAAGCAGAAGCAGGAUACUUCAUUUCUGAUCCUCCUUGACUCAACUUGGGGAUAGUACCUGGUACCAGGCGAGCAGAGCCAAUACUAAAUGUGACGACAACAUACCGCUGGCCACUGAAGUCAUGAGCAUGACAAUCCUACACAGGAAUCAAACUGAACAAUGCCGAACUGUAGGGAGUGUGGGAGCGAUGAGGUCUGGGAGAUCAUGACCUUAAUUCUCUCCAAGACAGACAGUUUAAUUAACACUGGAGGAAUCCUCACUGGCUCCAGACUGCUACAAUGGAAUGUUCAGGGGAAUUGGAUUGCCAAGGGCCUCUCGGCCAUUUAGUAGACUGUGAAGUUGACAGACGGUGCCCAUGAAUGUUGGAUGAUGACUGGAGGUCUGUCUGGUGCCAAGAGAAUGCAUAAUACAGCAUGGAUACAGUGAUUCCACUUCUGCCCAUCAGAAACACAGCACGGUUGCUGCAUCAUCGGCAGAUCUGCUGUCAGAAGAAAAGUGCUCCUACUUAAAGUGGAAAUCCAUGGAACACUGCUUUCAGGUGUGGCAGAGGGAAAGAUCUAGUCUCGUCUAGACAGGACUGUCAGGGUGUGGAAAGUGACCUACAAAACACAGGAAGAUGAAGACAAGGAGGAGGAGAACAGAUUGGUAAAACAAAUAAAUAAAGUAAAAAGGAAUGUUCUGUGAGUACAUGUCAAACAGUUGUUUGUCACUUAAAACAUUUAAUUGUUGGCAUCCCCACUGUCACAUCCAUCAACUGCAUUUCAAGGGUUUUAAUUUCAGUUUAGUAACAUCUGGUGGUUCAUAUGUAUUAUAUGGUGAAAAUGAUGUUAAUUGUUGUUUGAAAAAGUUGUUUGAAAGUUCUUUCUUUUUUGUUUGGAAGAAAUAUAUACUAUGAAUGCUAUUCUGUGCAAGAUGCUCUAAUGUUCUAAUAUUUCUCAUCUAUUUUAUGUAGAUUUGAAAAAAAAAAAACAAUGUGUGCAUCUGAGGACAAUUCCGGUACAAAUGUAUGUAUAUGACAUCCGCUAUGAAAUAAUAUUCACAAUUUGGUCACAGGGGAGCAAAGACAACAUUAAGGACAUGUACUCAUACAAUAUGCAAAGCUCUGCUGAGAAACAUGCCCAGAAUGUGGUGCCCUUAAUGUGAACGAAUAUGUACAGCAUUUCACUUUCAACAUUAAAACAUAGAUUAUUCACGAAUACUUAACAUAACAUAACAUGACAACAGUUAUGUAAUGCUGAACAUUAGACAUUCUAUUAAAGGCAAUGUGUAAUAAUGUGGAUAUUUACUUGAUGUUUGCAUGUUUGCUUAGUUAUGCUAAAGUUAUAUUAUAAAGAGGUUUUAAAAGUGUAUGUACUUUAUGUACUUAUGUAUGUAUAAACAUAUUUAUAUGAUUUAUACUGAAAGACCACGGUGUAACACACGUUUUCUGCGAGGGUCAGAAAUACCACAGCAAGGUAAGUCCUAUCACAGCCAUGCUGGGAUCAGUUUGAGGUCUCCCUAUCUGCCUCCUUCCAUAUUCGUCUGUGGUUACUAACCCCAGUUAAAGUGGGCAGAUAGAGGCCCCCACUAGGUUUUCCAUUGACAUUUUAUCACACUUCCUUUUCCUCUUCUCUGGGCCUCCACUCAGUCUACCAGACAGUCAAAUCAAAGACAUUGGGAUAUACCAUUAUGGUGCAUAAUGGAUGGCUGCAUUGCACCCGCUGAUGAUAUAUAACCGAAGGUCUCCCAAGGAACUAUAAGCUGAGCUGAGCUCUCCUUUAACGGCCACCGCAACUGAACAUAAACGUUUGCCUCAUACACUGAUUGAUUGAAGUGUGUCACAAUGACUUAUACUGAAUGGUAUGGAAUGGAAUGGAAGGCAAAUUGAAUUUACUUAAGUGUAUGUGAGUGUUUUUUUUUGGUUGUUUUUUUUUACUUGAACUUAAUGGAGAUAAAUAAAAUCAUUUACUGAAAUUGUA